CUUGUCUAUUUAUAGAAAUACGUCUUGCCCUUUACUUAAGAGGCAGUGACUUGGAGAAGCAGAUAUUUAGAGGAAGUCCAUUUGCUUGACAAAAACAUCUAUUACUUUUAUCACCAUUGGAGACCGAAAAAGAAUCAAUUACAAUACUUCACUUGGGAAUGACUAAUUGAAUUGUGAAACAUACUGAUGUUCUGAAGUCACCGAGGAAAAGCACAUGGUUCAUCACUGAAGGAGCUCCAGGAAGGAAGGGGUGACAGACACUUCCAAAUCAAAAGGCUGGUACGCAAAGCAGACAGUUCACUGAGGUUAAAGAUAUUGAUAAUAAUGAUGAGAAAGGAAAGAAGGAAAUCAUAAGAAAAAUAAACUGAUAUCAACCUAUGACUGCACCCAAACCAUCAAGAUAUUUUCAUGCAAUAGUCAUGUGCAGUGACCAGUGGAGUAUUUAGACUACACCCUACAUACUUAUGCUGGUCAAGAUGAAGACAAAAGUACAGUUCUCUGAACUGUAUCUUUUUACCAGACCACAGCUAAACAAAAGGGAAUUCAGCAUAAGAAGGGCAGAUCAGCAUUUCAGAGGGAACAUGACAACUAUAAAUGUUUAUACUAAAGAAGAAGAAAUCAACCGAGGAAAACCCUCUUUACCAAGACAAGCAUCUCACAUUUCUGAGUAGCACCUUGUCAGAAUUCAUGUUGUGCUUUUAUCUGCCAGCCCCAGCUAUCAAAAUUAUCCCCAGGUCAUUCAAACGUGCCUGGAGCUGCAUACCUGUGUUUUCUUUGUAUGGAAACCAAGAAUGGGAAAGAAGAGCAAUCAGGUCUUAACAAGGCCAAGGCACACACUUGAGAUGGGGAUCAGACAAAGUCUAGACAGAUUCCUUAGCUGGGUUUUGUGUUGUGUUUUUUUGUUGUUUAUUUUAAUUGCAGUUGUUGUUUUUCCUUCCCCCCCACAUUCCUUAAUACUAGCCAUUUGGUCUUUAUAAAACAUCCAAAAUGUGUAUGUAUUUAUAUUGUAUGUGUGAAAUAUAAAAAUUAUAUAUUCUGCUAAAGUAUUCCAUUCUGAG
ensembl:lncRNA